rnacentral:lncRNA from 1 species
AGAAAAGUAAAGUUCGAAGUGUCACAGGCUCACAGCUGCUGCACCAUCGAUUUAGAGAAUAUUCGUGGAAUACUUUGGGCAAUAUUGAGCUCAAAUCAUUUCUCGAGGUAUCCAAAACAGGCAUUAGCCUGUUGACGCCGAAGCAUUUGGGUGAUGGACAAGAGGAACGAUUUUGCCAGCGCUGCAAGCAGAUGGCCGUGAAACUUGUCACGGAGUGGCUGCUUCCCAAAUUCCAUCUCGUCAAAAAAAGUGAAAUUCAGGAAACGGCCAGGAGACAGUUGGCAUUCAACACAAACGGAAGCGGUGGUGGAAGAUGUAAAUGAAGGUCACGCCGCUGCUAUGGACCAACGGCAUGACGCCAUUCAUUGAAGACGGCUUCCAGAAUAAAUCAAACGGUAUGACUCAUUUGAAUUCAUCAGACGAUGAAAGGCGGAAUCCCGCGGUACACAGCCAUGCAAUAUCCUCUCCGAAUCCGGUUAGGAGUAUCCCAUAAGAGUCGAAAGGGACUGGGCCACGAACGUCUAAUCCGAUGAUGAUGGUGUGUCGCCAUUUUAUUUCGUCAGAUCUCCGGGAGUAUCAAGCAAACGAAAGUUUUAAGAUAAUGUCUAAUAUUACUAUUUCUGUCGUGAUUCUUUUUCCAGAUUCAAACCAUUCCAGCAAUAGGUGACGAUAUGGCCACAAUCCGAUAAAGCUCCUCGCCACUGGUUUAAGGAAAUGGUUGCGACUUGGUGGGAGGCCGUGGUGGGAGACAAGAGGAGAAUUUUGUGAGCCCCACAAACUUCCUGGGAAAGUUAGAUGGGGGGUCGGCUAGCACAAUAAGUAGAGCAACACAGUAAAUCAUUCUUAUUUCUUCAUUAAGUAAGUGUUAUUUACGUGGCUAGAUGGCCAUUCAAAUAUUUAACAUGCAAGCAAUCGAUACGGCUACGUGCCUGUAGCAGCUAGCAGUAGGUCGGAAGAAAGCUAAAUGAAAACUAGUUUUUUUUUUUGCGCUCUUUCAUCAGAGAAAAAGUCCGUCGAUGAUUUAUGGUUAAACUAGAUCAAAUAAGAAAUCGGGUAUGGAAUAGAUGGGAGAAGAAAAAUAUGAGGUGCCUUGUCCAUUCUUGGAUCUUCAGUCCUUUACUAUUUAUUAGACGGCAUCUGUUAAUUGUACUUUCUUACUGUCGUUUAGUCCAAUGAUUUUCUUGAGGCGAAUAACAACUUAACAAUUAUUGUAGGACUUUGCCUCUCACGAUAUUUUUUUUUAUUAUUGAAUGAAGCAAAAAGGUGUGGAUGGUGUCUCGGUUAUCCCUCAAUGUCAGCAACAGAGUAAGGAACACACCCUAUAUGAAUCUCCAUUAGGGUGUAGCAGCGAGCAAGUUCCAAAGUCUUUUCCAGUUAUAUGAAACAAAAAGACAUCAAUCUUUUGUUCUUCACGCCAUUUCAUUUACCACUGAACACAACUGGAAUAUUUGUCUGUCCGAAAAUGCUCUGAAGGACGCCAGAGACAACGGACUACUAUAUUCGGUAUUGAUUAAUGAUGAAUAGAGAGGAGCGCCUCUACAUACAAUGCGACGCGCCUGCUGUGAUCAUGAGCUGAUGUUCUCUUUGAAGUCGGCACCGCUCUUCAAUCGUUAUCUCUGGCCAGAAACCGCAGCAUGCACAUUCCCUUCUUGUCCUUGCAAGUUGCAACUUGAUCAUCCCAUCAGCAGCCUUCCGACUCCGCCCUUUCGUCCGACCCACAAUGGCCCGCCAUCAUUCAUCACGUCAUUCUGUUUUAUCCUUCCUGGAUCCUGAGCGCCAUGCGGUUCGUACUUUGUGUCAUAACUUUCAGCGAAUAUUGAGACUCGCAAUAAAGCGAACAAAACUUAUUGUAUAGAAGCUGUAAAUGCCAAAUGCAUUAACUUUGCCUUGUCUCUAAAAUUUCGAUUUCACAAAUUGAACGAAUUUGGAUAUUUUCAAGGCCGUGCAAAGUUAAAGGCAUUUCAACUUUCAAAACAUGGGGAAUGCGUAAGAGCAUAAGUUAGUUUUAAGACUCACGUUAAUUUUAAAUAAAGGUUGCACAUUUCGCAAAAAGUCCUUGGGGGGAAAUUGCGACCGAGACCUUCUGGUCUAACUGAAGGUCAAGAUAUUGUCAAUUAUUUUAGUGUAUUAUCGACAUCCCAUGACGUCACAAACAUUCCGUGGGUUACUAUGGUAUAGUACUCAAUGUAUCCACUAUCCACCUACAAAGAAUAUCCAAACACAUUAUUAUGCGUCAACAAAAAGACUUGUUUUCCCCAGGACUCAUUCACUAUCACCGAUGCCAUCGCCGCAUCAGAUCCUUCCCUUACGUCUAGUUUUUUUUUCGUGCAUCGGACAGCGUGAUAACAAAUUGCAGUGACAAGAAUUAACAAAAUUAUUUUGUGAUUCAACUUUGCAUUAUUCCUGUUACAAUGCCAACAACACGAAUAAAAGUUUCAGAUUCGGAAAAAGUCCGAAUUCGCAGUGAAAGUUUAUGUAACCUGAAAUGCGUCAAAUCCAACAUUAGUUUGGAUGAAACUUUGAGGCCACUAUGGAAACUGACCCAUUACUGCGGGAUAUUGUUGGACUGGUGUCGCCCAAUCUGCAAGGAUAACCACCGUUUCUACAAAGUUACCCGUUUAAUUUGGAUCACUCUUCUGUUUUUACUUCUCUUUGCGAUUUUCUUAUUCGAGAUGAUUCAAUUAGUCAGAGGAAUCGAGAGUGCGCCCAAUAUUCACGUGAUGAUCCUGAAUAUUCUGUGGAGCGUGCCGCUACUAGUUGGAUUCAUCGUCCAGGAACAAUUCCUCCGUUACCGACGAGAGUUUCUCCGUUUCUUCAAAGACUGGAGAGCCCUAGAAAUUGAAAUCGCCCAAUUGAAUCCCGAUUGUGUAAUGUGCCAAUCUAGGGGCAUGCACUUGACGAUGUACGCAAUUCACGCUGUGAUGUCGAUCGCAGGAUUGAUAGCCCUGGGCUUGGAUAUUUUCAAUCAUCCCGAGGCUCCCUAUCUCAUCUCUACUUAUCAGAUUGUUCGUGAAACUAUCCCACCUCUUUUAAUUUGUUUAAUCCAUCUAACACCCAUCGGAUUUACUUUG